GAGUUGAUUUAUGGCUCAGGAUGAACGCUAGCGGCAGGCUUAACACAUGCAAGUCGAGGGGCAGCGGGGAGGAAGCUUGCUUUCUCCGCCGGCGACCGGCGCACGGGUGAGUAACACGUAUGCAACCUGCCCCUGUCAGGGGGACAACCCGCCGAAAGGCGGGCUAAACCCGCGUACAUGCCACCGGGGCAUCCCGGAGGCAGGAAAGGCUUCGGCCGGACAGGGAUGGGCAUGCGGCGCAUUAGGCAGUAGGCGGGGUAACGGCCCACCUAACCGACGAUGCGUAGGGGUUCUGAGAGGAAGGUCCCCCACACUGGUACUGAGACACGGACCAGACUCCUACGGGAGGCAGCAGUGAGGAAUAUUGGUCAAUGGUCGGGAGACUGAACCAGCCAAGCCGCGUGAGGGAUGAAGGUACAGAGUAUCGUAAACCUCUUUUGUCAGGGAACAAAGGCGGGGACGUGUCCCCGGAUGAGUGUACCUGAAGAAAAAGCAUCGGCUAACUCCGUGCCAGCAGCCGCGGUAAUACGGAGGAUGCGAGCGUUAUCCGGAUUUAUUGGGCUUAAAGGGUGCGCAGGCGGUCUGUUAAGUCAGCGGUCAAAGCCCGGGGCUCAACCCCGGCCCGCCGUUGAAACUGGCAGUCUCGAGUUGGAGAGAAGUAUGCGGAAUGCGCGGUGUAGCGGUGAAAUGCAUAGAUAUCGCGCAGAACUCCGAUUGCGAAGGCAGCAUGCCGGCUCCACACUGACGCUGAGGCACGAAAGCGUGGGUAUCGAACAGGAUUAGAUACCCUGGUAGUCCACGCAGUAAACGAUGAAUGCUGGCUGUCCGGGGGGGAUUGACCCCUGGGUGGCGAAGCGAAAGCGAUAAGCAUUCCACCUGGGGAGUACGCCGGCAACGGUGAAACUCAAAGGAAUUGACGGGGGCCCGCACAAGCGGAGGAACAUGUGGUUUAAUUCGAUGAUACGCGAGGAACCUUACCCGGGCUCAAACGGGGAGUGACUCAGGCAGAGACGCCUGUUUCCCACGGGACACUCCCCGAGGUGCUGCAUGGUUGUCGUCAGCUCGUGCCGUGAGGUGUCGGCUUAAGUGCCAUAACGAGCGCAACCCCCGCGUGCAGUUGCUAACAGAUAACGCUGAGGACUCUGCACGGACUGCCGGCGCAAGCCGCGAGGAAGGCGGGGAUGACGUCAAAUCAGCACGGCCCUUACGUCCGGGGCGACACACGUGUUACAAUGGGUGGUACAGCGGGAAGCCAGGCGGCGACGCCGAGCGGAACCCGAAAUCCACUCUCAGUUCGGAUCGGAGUCUGCAACCCGACUCCGUGAAGCUGGAUUCGCUAGUAAUCGCGCAUCAGCCAUGGCGCGGUGAAUACGUUCCCGGGCCUUGUACACACCGCCCGUCAAGCCAUGGGAGCCGAGGGCGCUUGAAGUGCGUCGCCGCGAGGCGCGCCCUAGAGCGAAAUCGGUGACUGGGGCUAAGUCGUAACAAGGU
rnacentral:rRNA from 1 species